rnacentral:rRNA from 1 species
GGGGGUGCUAUACAUGCAGUCGAGCGAAUGGAUUAAGAGCUUGCUCUUAUGAAGUUAGCGGCGGACGGGUGAGUAACACGUGGGUAACCUGCCCAUAAGACUGGGAUAACUCCGGGAAACCGGGGCUAAUACCGGAUAACAUUUUGAACCGCAUGGUUCGAAAUUGAAAGGCGGCUUCGGCUGUCACUUAUGGAUGGACCCGCGUCGCAUUAGCUAGUUGGUGAGGUAACGGCUCACCAAGGCAACGAUGCGUAGCCGACCUGAGAGGGUGAUCGGCCACACUGGGACUGAGACACGGCCCAGACUCCUACGGGAGGCAGCAGUAGGGAAUCUUCCGCAAUGGACGAAAGUCUGACGGAGCAACGCCGCGUGAGUGAUGAAGGCUUUCGGGUCGUAAAACUCUGUUGUUAGGGAAGAACAAGUGCUAGUUGAAUAAGCUGGCACCUUGACGGUACCUAACCAGAAAGCCACGGCUAACUACGUGCCAGCAGCCGCGGUAAUACGUAGGUGGCAAGCGUUAUCCGGAAUUAUUGGGCGUAAAGCGCGCGCAGGUGGUUUCUUAAGUCUGAUGUGAAAGCCCACGGCUCAACCGUGGAGGGUCAUUGGAAACUGGGAGACUUGAGUGCAGAAGAGGAAAGUGGAAUUCCAUGUGUAGCGGUGAAAUGCGUAGAGAUAUGGAGGAACACCAGUGGCGAAGGCGACUUUCUGGUCUGUAACUGACACUGAGGCGCGAAAGCGUGGGGAGCAAACAGGAUUA